rnacentral:rRNA from 1 species
UCAGUAACGGCGAGUGAAGCGGCAAAAGCUCAAAUUUGAAAUCCCCCCGGGGAGUUGUAAUUUGAAGAUUGCGUCUUGGAGGCGACCGUGUCUAUGUUCCUUGGAACAGGACGUCACAGAGGGUGAGAAUCCCGUGCGGCACGGCCCCCGGCUCCUUAUAAGGCGCUCUCGACGAGUCGAGUUGUUUGGGAAUGCAGCUCAAAGUGGGUGGUAAAUUCCAUCUAAAGCUAAAUACAGGCGAGAGACCGAUAGCGAACAAGUACAGUGAUGGAAAGAUGAAAAGCACUUUGAAAAGAGAGUGAAACAGCACGUGAAAUUGUUGAAAGGGAAGGGCAUGCCGUCAGAUUGUCAGUGUGGGUAAGAAGCGGGGUACAAAGACUGUGGAACGUGGCCCUCGGGUGUUAUAGCCGCAGUUCAUGCCCCGUCUCUUUCCGAGGCCUGCUUUGAGGACACCGACGUAAUGACGGUACGCCGCCCGUCUUGAAACACGGACCAAGGAGUCUAACGUCUAUGCGAGUGUGUGGGUGUCAAACCCAAACGCGUAAUGAAAGUGAACAGAUGAGUUUCAUCAUCGACCGAUCCUGAAGUGUUCGGAUGGAUUUGAGUAAGAGCAUAGCUGUUGGGACCCGAAAGAUGGUGAACUAUGCCUGAAUAGGGUGAAGCCAGAGGAAACUCUGGUGGAGGCUCGUAGCGGUUCUGACGUGCAAAUCGAUCGUCGAAUUUGGGUAUAGGGGCGAAAGA